GAUGAACGCUGGCGGCGUGCCUAAUACAUGCAAGUCGAGCGAACGGACGAGAAGCUUGCUUCUCUGAUGUUAGCGGCGGACGGGUGAGUAACACGUGGAUAACCUACCUAUAAGACUGGGAUAACUUCGGGAAACCGUAGCUAAUACCGGAUAAUAUUUUGAACCGCAUGGUUCAAAAGUGAAAGACGGUCUUGCUGUCACUUAUAGAUGGAUCCGCGCUGCAUUAGCUAGUUGGUAAGGUAACGGCUUACCAAGGCAACGAUGCAUAGCCGACCUGAGGGGGUGAUCGGCCACACUGGAACUGAGACACGGUCCAGACUCCUACGGGAGGCAGCAGUAGGGAAUCUUCCGCAAUGGGCGAAAGCCUGACGGAGCAACGCCGCGUGAGUGAUGAAGGUCUUCGGAUCGUAAAACUCUGUUAUUAGGGAAGAACAUAUGUGUAAGUAACUGUGCACAUCUUGACGGUACCUUAUCAGAAAGCCACGGCUAACUACGUG
rnacentral:rRNA from 1 species